UGUCACUCUUAUUUGUCUGUGC
rnacentral:miRNA from 1 species